rnacentral:rRNA from 1 species
ACUUUCAAGAGUAGUGUGCCGUGAAUGCACCCGACCUAAUCUCGGAAGCUUAAGCAGGGUUGGGCCUGGUUAGUACUAGGAUGGGAGAUCGCCUUGGAAUACCAGGCCCUGUAGGUA